rnacentral:lncRNA from 1 species
GACUGUAACACAAGACAAGAUAUAAAAUAUAAACCUCAGAGUUACAAAAGACUAUAGACAAACAGAACAUCAUAACUAUAUAAAUAAGGGAAAAAGUUAAUUUUGAAAAAUUAUUUAUAUCCCAGUAGUUACGCUUUGUUAAAAAAUUAAAUUAAUUCGAAAGUGUAAUUAACACGCAAACCAGCCAAUAAAUGUAAAUAACAAAGAAACAUAUUUUCCUACUAACCAAGUCAGUUGGAUCUGAAGAAUUGAAUAAUGAGAGUGAAAAGGGCUGUGACAAUAGUGGGGUUUCUUAUUAUCAUAAUAGUAGUUUUCAUAAUUUAUUCAGCCAAAGAUCUUGAUGGAUUUCCCAUGAAAGAAUCUUCUAUAAAUCAAGAUUUUCAAGAG